AUUGAACGCUGGCGGCAGGCCUAACACAUGCAAGUCGAGCGGGGUUUUCGGACCUAGCGGCGGACGGGUGAGUAAUGCGUAGGAAGCUGCCCGAUAGAGGGGGAUACCAGUUGGAAACGACUGUUAAUACCGCAUAAUGUCUACGGACCAAAGUGUGGGACCUUCGGGCCACAUGCUAUCGGAUGCGCCUACGUGGGGUUAGCCAUUUGGUGAGGUAAUGGUGCACCAAGGCGACGAGAUCUAGAUGGUUUGAGAGGAUGAUCAGUCAUAAUGGAACUGAUACACGGUCCGGACUACUACGGGGGGCAGCAGUGGGGAAUAUUGGACGAUGGGCGCAAGCCUGAUCCAGCCAUGCCGCGUGUGUAAAGAAGGCCUUCGGGUUGUAAAGCACUUUCAGCGAGGAGGAAGGGGUGUGUGUUAAUAGUACACACCUUUGACGUUACUCGCAGAAGAAGCACCGGCUAACUCUGUGCCAGCCGCCGCCGUAAAAC
rnacentral:rRNA from 1 species